rnacentral:rRNA from 1 species
CUGGCGGCAUGCUUACACAUGCAAGUCGGACGGCAGCGCGGGGGCAACCUGGCGGCGAGUGGCGAACGGGUGAGUAAUACAUCGGAACGUGUCUGGAGUGGGGGAUAGCCCGGCGAAAGCCGGAUNAAUACCGCAUACGCUCUGUGGAGGAAAGCGGGGGAUCUUCGGACCUCGCGCUCAAGGGGCGGCCGAUGGCAGAUUAGCUAGUUGGUGGGGUAAAGGCCUACCAAGGCGACGAUCUGUAGCUGGUCUGAGAGGACGACCAGCCACACUGGGACUGAGACACGGCCCAGACUCCUACGGGAGGCAGCAGUGGGGAAUUUUGGACAAUGGGGGCAACCCUGAUCCAGCAAUGCCGCGUGUGUGAAGAAGGCCUUCGGGUUGUAAAGCACUUUUGUCCGGAAAGAAAACCGCUUCUCUAAUACAGAGGCGGGAUGACGGUACCGGAAGAAUAAGCACCGGCUAACUACGUGCCAGCAGCCGCGGUAAUACGUAGGGUGCAAGCGUUAAUCGGAAUUACUGGGCGUAAAGCGUGCGCAGGCGGUUCGCUAAGACCGAUGUGAAAUCCCCGGGCUUAACCUGGGAACUGCAUUGGUGACUGGCGGGCUAGAGUAUGGCAGAGGGGGGUAGAAUUCCACGUGUAGCAGUGAAAUGCGUAGAGAUGUGGAGGAAUACCGAUGGCGAAGGCAGCCCCCUGGGCCAAUACUGACGCUCAUGCACGAAAGCGUGGGGAGCAAACAGGAUUAGAUACCCUGGUAGUCCACGCCCUAAACGAUGUCAACUAGUUGUCGGGUCUUCAUUGACUUGGUAACGAAGCUAACGCGUGAAGUUGACCGCCUGGGGAGUACGGUCGCAAGAUUAAAACUCAAAGGAAUUGACGGGGACCCGCACAAGCGGUGGAUGAUGUGGAUUAAUUCGAUGCAACGCGAAAAACCUUACCUACCCUUGACAUGUACGGAACCUUGCUGAGAGGUGAGGGUGCCCGAAAGGGAGCCGUAACACAGGUGCUG